ACAAACUUGGUCAUUUAGAGGAAGUAAAAGUCGUAACAAGGUUUCCGUAGGUGAACCUGCGGAAGGAUCAUUAACAAAUCCUGUUGUGAAGAGUGUAUUGUUGUGUUGCAUUUGCAUUCAUUGUUGCUUGCUUGCUUGUCUCUGAUUGGUGCAUUCGUGCAUUGAUUGUGAUUGUGAUUGCAAGUGGCACGUGACAUGCAAAUGCAACACACAAUACACUCGACACUUGUUCCAUGUGCAUGUUCACUCUGCACAUGUGUCACAAACAUUUCUGCUCAUUUGUCUGAUUGCAUUUGUUGCGUGUGAGAGAAUGAACGACUUUUAACAAUGGAUCUCUAGGCUCUUGCAUCGAUGAAGAACGCAGC
rnacentral:misc_RNA from 1 species